rnacentral:lncRNA from 1 species
AUGUUGAGAGGAGGAGAAUUACAUGGAGCGAGUUGUGGAGCAUGGAGGCUAGCAGGCUUAGUUUCACCAUUAGAGCCGUGUACGAUGUCCUUCCCUCUCCAACCAACUUACAUCUCUGGUAUGGAGAAGAACCAGCCUGUCCACAGUGUGCAGCACCUGCAAGCCUCAAGCACAUCUUGGUGGGUUGUAAGAUCAGCCUGACCCAAGGAAGGUACACCUGGCGCCACAAUCAAGUAUUGAAGUUCUUGGCGGCUGAACUUGAGAAGAGGAGGGUAAAGAUCAAUUCCAUGCCUCCAAAUUCCCAACCUGUUGCCCCAUGGAAAAUGUCCUUCGUUCGGGGAGGGGAGAAGCGAGGGUGUAAGCCAGCUCCUCCGGAGGCCGGCGCACUCACCGUUGCCCGAGACUGGGAAAUGCGGGUGGACCUCAGCCAGAGGCUUAUUUUUCCAUCUGAAGUCACAGUUACCAACUUGCGCCCAGACCUGGUCCUAUGGUCCAAAUCCUGUCGGCGCGUUUUCAUUGUGGAGCUCACUGUCCCAUGGGAGGAGGCAAUCGGGGAGGCAUACGAACGGAAGAGACUGCGUUAUGCGAACCUAGCAGCUGAAGCAGAGGGGCGGGGCUGGAGUGUAAAAGUGUGGCCUGUGGAGGUAGGCUGCAGAGGCUUUGUUUCCAGAACCACCACAAAGCUCCUGAAGGAAAUGGGCAUCAGAGGGCAGGCCCAACGGAGGGCAGUAAAAGAGCUCGCUGCCACAGGACAUAUCGUGGGCGGCCAAGUGAUCAUGUGGUGCCAUUGUGCAACACACACACCCAGUUUUGAUCAGACUGUGGUGGGCCAACCUUGGUGGAGGGUGUCUUGUGUUAAAUGGCUGAAACACCUAAUGAUGCCAAGGCACACAACUGAUGAUGUGUCGAGCUGGUGACACCACAGAAUCAUGAGUGCCAAUCCUACUCCAUCCAAGUCUUUUUCACUUGCCAUGAUUAGGUCGGGAUUUUAACACCUAGUCCUAUAGAGAAGUCUAUGUGGAGAACACCGUACCCACCAGGACUGUAUGGAGCUUCUCCAACAGCAAGCCCUGGAUCACCCCAGAUAUAAAGGCUCUCCUCAAGGA